GAGAUUGGGAAUGACCAGUAAAAGACAACCCAAGUAACGGCCUAGAAGUCUGGAUUCAUGAUGCCUGCCAACCUGUCAGGGCUGACAGAUAACAUCUCCCCUUAGGGUCUGGUCUGAAGCAGUAUAUCUCCUAGCUGUUUAAAAGCAUGUCAGUAAAUUUCACCAAAUUAUCUAUUGCCACUCACUCAAAUUCUAUACACUAUUCCACUUGAGUCCAAAUGGAUUUUAGAAUCAGAUCUCUCAUGAAGAGAGACAGUUGAUUAAUUUUGACAUCACUACACUCAUUCUUCCUACUCAGUUUUGGCAAAAUUCACAGAAUGAUCCCUACCUCCUGCCUUUUCAAUGUCCAAAGUCAUUCUAAACACAAACAUCAGCUAUAAAACAUUGUUAGAAGAGCAAAUGCACCCAUAAUUGUUCUACUCAUUCAGGUGUUUAGAAUUUUGCUGAAUAAGAUAUUUAUUAACAGAUUUAAAGGACCUCAGAGAUAGCUAAGAAAUUCAAACAAUUAUUAGGUGUUUACUAUGAGUCAGUCAGGCACUGAAGAUAGGCCCUGAGGAUUAAAGAUGAGCAAGACCAGAAGUGCUGCUCUCAAGUAGUCUAGUAGAUGGAGGAAGUUCAACGAAUGAGUAGGUUCUCUAAUAGAAGUCUCUAUAGGGUACAGUGGGGAGGGGGAGGAGCAGGAAUAUUUAGUCUGAAUAUUAAAUGGAUGGUUAGCUCAAUUGGUUAAAGCAUGGCAAUAAGGUCAUUACCUCUAAACAUGGGUCUAGUGCCUGUGGAGGCCAGAUCUUUCCAUUCUCUGUCACAGCCACAAUGCCAGUACCCCAGCCUUAAAAAAUAUAUCCUCAGUCUAGUCCAAGAGGCUUGGAAAAGACGAUGUGAUUAAAUUAUUGACAACUUGUCACUACUCCCAGAAAGAUAAGUAAAAAAUGUACAUACACUCAGUAGGAACUCAAUAAAUAUGAAUUCCUUUUCCUUCCUAGAGUGUGAGAUGUGUGACUCUAACGGCUCUGAGACUCUUUCCUGAACUAUCAAAUAGGAAUAAUAGUCCAGGACUCAUCCUUCUACGCUCACUGCUGUUGUAAAGAGCCAAUGAGGAAGUAGGUAAUCCAGGAGAAAGAAAACAACAAAGUGCCUGAUGUGAAAUAGCUUUACCUGCAGAAAGAGGUACACAUAAUUUAUAACAGCAGGUCCUCAGAGGCACAACAAUCAGCUAUGAGGGAAGGGGAGCGGUUAGAAGGCUGGCUCCCGUGCUGCUCUAACACAGCUUCCAGCUCGGCCAUCUUCUGCUGAAGCUUUAUCAGGUUAUCUUGCAUGGUAUCC